UAGGGAAUCUUCGGCAAUGGACGAAAGUCUGACCGAGCAACGCCGCGUGAGUGAAGAAGGUUUUCGGAUCGUAAAACUCUGUUGUUAGAGAAGAACAAGGACGUUAGUAACUGAACGUCCCCUGACGGUAUCUAACCAGAAAGCCACGGCUAACUACGUGCCAGCAGCCGCGGUAAUACGUAGGUGGCAAGCGUUGUCCGGAUUUACUGGGCGUAAAGCGAGCGCAGGCGGUUUCUUAAGUCUGAUGUGAAAGCCCCCGGGUCAACCGGGGAGGGUAAUUGGAAACUGGGAGACUUGAGUGCAGAAGAGGGGAGUGGAAUUCCAUGUGUAGCGGUGAAGUGCGUAGAUAUAUGGAGGAACACCAGUGGCGAAGGAGGCACUCUGGUCUGUAACUGACGCUGAGGCUCGAAAGCGUGGGGAGCAAACAGA
rnacentral:rRNA from 1 species